rnacentral:tRNA from 1 species
AAGCCCCGGCACCACAGCUGGGGUGCUUCUCCAGAUUUGCAUCCUGGCGUGUUCGACCACCGCGAGA